rnacentral:lncRNA from 1 species
AUUGAUGCCACAUGCAUCUUUGGAAUCUGUAACUGUAAACUGAAGGCAACUGAGCAAAUACAAUUGUUAUCAUACUUUUCUAUGUAUUGAAAUAACUACAAUGAGAUGGAGCAGUUCCAUCCACUCCUCAUAGUGCCUCGACCAUACAAUAAGACCAGUGUUAACAACCGUUAUGAAUUGAUGAAACAUGACACAACAUACAUCUCAAUUUGUAAUUGUGCCGAGCUAGACAUGUUGCAUUACGAUAGCAGCAUAUAAAAUCUAGUAAAUGUGACACAUGACACAAACAGGUCAGGCAUUUUCUCUCCACUAAAAUGCCUCGGUGUUCACCUAAGGUGUGAUGCUAGGAAGUUAGAUAUCCCUGCCAGCAGGUCUGCAGAACCACACGUCACUGUCUGCAGCCAGCACCACGAACAAAGCAUUUUAGCUCUUGCGAGUUCUGUUGCAUGGAGAUCUAUCGCCUGCUAGGAGACUCCAGAAUGCACACAACAAGCAGAUUGACAGUUCUCAACUUCCCAUCCAGAAUCACAGCUCCCAAACAGGAGCGGAGAGGAAAAGAAAUGCAGCAAACUAGGCAAACUAUCUUUUCUCAUCUCUGGAAGCCAUCCUGAAGAUAGUACUCAACUUCAUGAUCAGCAAUAUUGAAAAGCACAGCAAAACUAUACUGGAAAAUAACUUCAUAGCAAUAGCAAAAUCUGUUGUCCUUCACUCCAAUGUUCUGCAUAAAUAUAAACCAAAGUCAUGAGGAAAUCAAAUAGGUUGCAUGAUAGCUCAGUGCCAAUACAGAGCAUGUCGUGUGGGUGAGGCUUGAGUUUGCAAUCAUCAGCAGUGCAAAAAGCUCCAGUUAAAUAGUUGACCAAGAUGUAAUGAAAAUAUAAUUAUAAACAUUAUGGUCUCGACAUGUAAUACCCUUUUAAGAACAAAACCAGAUAUACACCAUAUGUGAGUUUUAAAAGCCAAAUCUCACAUAUAGCUACAAAUAAGGGGUAAUAUUAAAAGACAAUGCAUACAUUAUAUAACGUACAUAAUAAAUCAGAGAUAACCUUAAGCAGCUUAUAGCGGAAGUAACUCCAAACUUCGGUAUUAACUUCACUCUACAUGAUCCAACUCACUGGUUGAUCACAAGCCCAAAACUUCUCCUGAGGUGUGGGGGAAAUUGCAAGAGUGAGCACAUAUCGUACUCAACAAGUAUAACCAGGGGUUCAUGAGGCUCAAAUAGCUGACACUGGUUUGACUGCAUUUAGCUUUUAUAUGUAGAUAGCAUAUUUAUAUUUAGAUAACAAAUGUCAAGGUAGCAUAACUUAAAUCCCAUAACCACAUGAUCAAUUGUAUACAAGAAUUAAGAAUAACACAUAUAAAUAACAUAAUAAACCAUCAUUUAUUAUCAUUAAUCAUGUUCAUCAGUGUCCAUCUAUUCCGUCAGUUUUCCGGGCCGCCCGUAUCCGUGGGCACGGCUAGUAUACCAGAUUUAACACUCUGCAGAGAUUGUACAUCUUUACCCAUGAGUCAUGAUUUACCCUUUCGCCCGAGGCCCGUCGACCUCUUAGCUCACUUCCAAGGAAAGCCGACAGGGUUCACUAUGAAGUCUUUUAAAGGUUCGUCUAACAACAAGUUAGAGCCGCUUGGUUUCAUUAGUCAGUCCAUGUGAUUCACCCACAGGAAUCCACGGUCUGCUAUUCCCCAAUUGCGCCACAUGGGUAACCGCUAACGAGCUAAAAAAGUUACUCAUACUUGACUAAAGCCAGAGCCAUAUAGCCCUCAUGGUUGUACGAGUUGUCCCAGCUUUUGCCAAGGGAUAAGUCCUUACGGAGGGUCAAGAUCAAUCCAGCAAAAGCCAGAGUUCUUUCCACCCUUUAUGUUCAAGUUGCUAGAAAGCUUAUUUUAUUGUUUAUUGUAUAUCCAAACAUUCAUGUUACAAGAUCAUGGAUUAUAUUCAAGCACUAGCAAGAACUACCCAAAUGCAUAUCCAAAAUAGGUAACAAGGAAUUCAGGAUAACAAUCAUCUAUGAUUUUGCUAAGGUCAUCAAGGUGGACAUAUGCAUAUGAUAAAUAUUGUAUUAAUUGUGUAUAGGUAACAAAGAUGAUCCCUAGUUAUACUUGUCUUGAUCAAAGCUCUCCUGAGCCCGCUGGUUGUCAAAAGCUUGACCUUGAUCACCAACGUAUUGCUCACCGUCUAUACCCGAUCAUCAAUUAACAACACGCAAUCCAAUAUAGACAAUCAUACACGAAGCAAACAAGCUAUAAUUAGAACAAUACACCAACAGUGGUAAAACAAAUAUAAAAGUUUAUAAAAAUAUUCUACGUAGCUCCACGAUCACACAAACGUAAAGUUCACGAAAAUCGGAAUUAAAACGUAGAAGUUAUGAAUUUCCUAAGAUUUUACAUAGAAAAGUAAUUAAUUAAUUAAGGUCACAAAAUUAAAAAGUUUCAAAACAGAGAUUUAAUACUUCUAACAUGUAGAGCUCGUGAAUACGAAUCUAACGAAAUUUGAAUGGACAAAAACGGUGUUAAAACGAAUAUUUUAUGAGCAAAACAAAUUCAAUGGCAAAACUGUAAUUUCUGGAAAGCGUAUUUUUGAACUUAGCCGGCUGUUUACGUCUUCCGAACUGAGAAAGCGUAUUUUAGGGUUUACGUCAUGGUCUGCGUGUUUAUUUGGCAAAAGCUCAGGGGCUCUUUAGAAAAAAGACACGUGAACCGUUACCUUCUUUUGUGGGACGUUGAUCUUCGAUCCGACCGUCCGCAGCGCUCCUGGGGACUUCGGCCGGCGGCGGCGUGGCACACCACGGCGGCGCCAUGGCCGCGGCCCCGGAAGCUCACCGGAGCCCGGCAAAACGCGAUUCCAGGCACUAGAGCUCACGGGAAAAAUACCACGGGACGGAGAAACUCGCAGCGGACUCACUGGAACGCGUUGCAGCGGCCAUGGAGCAGAGAGAGAGACGCGCGGCGACGGCGGCUUGUCUCCAACUCGGCUAGAUCCGGUUUAGGGCAGCAGCAGGUUCUAGGGCACGAUUUUUGCGGCGAAAAUAGAAAACAACACGCGGGGUUGUCGCUAGGAGCUUUAUAGGGAUUUGAUUCGCGCAAAAAGUCAAGAAAUCGUGGCUUCCUGGGAUCGGGUUCGGCGUGGACGGAAACCUGCUCGAUUACGGCUGGAGGUAGGGAAUGGGCGCUGUCCCGUGGGCCCGAGCUGCCAGCGAGAAAGAAACAUGGGGCCCGGUCGUCAUCCAGACAGAGAGAGGGGAGGGAGCGUGCGCUGCCUGUCCAAAACGUGAGCCAGGCCGCGGCCUGUCCCGUGGGCCUGAGCUGCCAGCGAGAAAGAAACGUGGGGCCCAGUCGUCAUCUAGACAGAGAGAGGGGAGGGAGCGUGCGCUGCCUGUCCAAAACGCGCGCCAGGCCGCGGGGCACUAGGCCGCGACCUGGCCGAUGCGCGACGUGGGGAAGGAAACGGAGCUGGGCUGGCUGCUGCAGCUGCUGGCUUGGGCCGGAGAGGGGAAGUGGGGCGCCGCUCGGGUCAUGGGCUGGCUGAGCUUCUCGGCCCAUGAAAGCAGAAGGAGCGUGUUGGGAAAAUGCGCACUGCACUCCCCAGCAACACAGUGAGACGAGAAUCUUCUCACUCGGUGCCGUGAGAGGCUGAACAACAGCAAAACAGUGGGCUCAACAGUAGGUGAAUACAAUGAAUGCUCCCCCUUCUUAAUGACGGUAUCACGCCCCUUAUAUAGGGCUCGAAAACCGACCUAAGAAAAUUACAGAAAUGCCCCAUGACGGUGGGGGAAUAUUCCAGCAUAUUCUCAUAUUACAGUCUACUGACCCUAAGCCAUUUGUGUAAUUUCACACUACGAACCCUACGUGUGUCCCCUGUCUAGGGCUUCAGCUGGUCGGAGGCUUGGAUCCUCCGCUCGGCCGCCGAUCCUUCGACGCUUCCGCGUCGAAGGUUCCUCAGCUUGGACGCGUCGGAGGUUCCUCAGCCCGGACGCGUCGGAGGUUUCUCUCCUCGGUCAACUAAAGGCUCCUCAGCUCGCUCGGCCGCCGACCUUCGACGCUUCCGCGUCGGAGGUUCCCAUCCUCCGCCGCGUCCUUCGCCAUCCUCGAACUUGGGAGGAUCGGAGGCUCCUCCUUUCUCCAAUUGCGGGACUCCAUCAGUGCCUCAAUCCCUGCACACACUUAGCAUGAUAAGACGAGUCGUCAAUGUUAGUCUUUCUCAGGAACCUUCGCACGUAUUCGCACGAAGGUUCCCUGGGUGAAGGAUAUCCUUCGACGCCACCAGGGGGAAGGAUGUGGCCAUUCCCUAACAGUUCCCCCCUUUUUGGGCUAAUGGCACUCCUGCGGUCCAUGUGCUAAAAAACGUGCCGCGCAGCGGAGGCUGCGAGCAUGGUUGCAUCCUUCCCCCUUGGUGCGCAGGAAGUGCUUGUUGGCAGUAUGGUGGAAUGUUCCUUGUACUUAGCCAUGAAUUUUCUUUGUGUGUUUAGGUUUUCAGGAUCCUCCGAUCAUUUUUUGUUGUUAUGAUAAUUUGAUAUCCUUCGCAUAUUAGAUCGCGGAGGAUAGUGAUUUGUGUGAUAUUUGGCCGGUUAGCCAUUGGACUUAUCUGUUAGAGUUUGGGAAUCGCAACGGCUACGCCGAGUCCUCCGCUCAUAGCCGUUGGGCGCGGGGAAUCGCAACGGUCGUGCGGUCGCAGGCCCCCCUAUAAAAGGGGAUGCUGGGGAGCUCUGGGCUCUCACCCCUGUCGCUCAUUGCCUGCACAUUUUCCUUUGCCACAUCUCACUUGCUCUCUGAGCUGCUCGCGUGCGUUUUCGUUGUGUUUAGUUUCUAAGUGUUUGCGGAGGAUCUAAGGUGGCUCAUUUUCCUUCGCCCCGUCCUUCGAGGUCAGAUUUUUCUGGUCCUUUGCGCAAUUUCCUUAGCGUGAGGUCCGGAGGUUGGCUGCGGAGGUUUGAAGAGUGGAUGCUUGAGGUGGCAGCAGCUCAAGAUCUGGAGGAGACGCUGUCUGACGUCGAAGCUUCCGUUGGGGAUCUUAUCAGUGCUAAGGAGUUUGACUCAAUGGCGGCAAUUACCUUUGAGUUUGGGGAGUCGACUGUUAGGACGGAGGAUAUCGCCGAUAUGGUUGAGGUUGGGUUUUUCAAGGAUGGUCGUGCGAAGGCUCCUCCCGCAGGCCAGACGGUGCCUGCGCCUGAGGAGGGGUAUGCGGUGGUCUUUAGAGAUUUUUUUACCUGCGGGCUCCGGAUUCCUCCGUAUCAUUUUCUCCGCGAAGUGAUGGAGAGUUUCAACGUGGAGCUGCAGCAUUUUAGCCCUAAUGGGAUACUGACCCUUAGCAAGUUUGCUUGGGCUUGCGAAUCCUACGGAGCUAUGCCCCACAUUGAUACCUUAUGCUCCUACAUUGAACUCCAACGUCAGCCUAAAAAGGUGAAGGAUGCUGAAGGAGUGGAUUGCAUUGCGCAGUUUGGAAGCUGCGCGUUCAUGCCACGUCGCACGAUGCCUGGGCCAAGGUGCGAAAUCUCCUACUGCCAAAAGGGCAAGUGGGAGAAGGAUUGGAUGAGGGCCUGGUUUUAUGUGAGGACCCCCGCCGCGUCGAAGACUCUGGAAGAUGGUCGGGUUGAUAAGCUGUACCCGUACGCAUCGAAGAUGAAGGAGUUGAAGCCUUUUUCCAAGGUUGAUCUUUCGCAGCCAAUGUCAGAGUAACGACUGGCUUGCGACAAGGCCUUUGCGUUGGCCUGCCGACACUCCGGAGGUUGGGAUUUGGUUGAGGAGAUGGUUGCUGCCGACUACUGGCCCCUUGGCCGCAGGGCUGACGAGUUCACCAUUGAAAUGGUGCAAGUGCCGGUGUUUGGUCCUCCGGAGGGGUUACCGUUUCCUCAGUUCCGCGCGGGUUUACCGGAGGGCGAGACGAAGGAAUCCUUCCUCGGUCGCGUGGAGGUUUCGGCCCGGAGGAUUGUUGGGAAGAUUUCUGAGAAGGAAUAUCUUCAGCGGAAAUCUGCGCUUGGGACGAUGCCGCGUUUCAACCGCAUCUUUGAAGAGCUGGGGAUUGAGUACAAUGAUUAUGUCAUUCCUCCGGACGUCUUGCUUGGCUUGGAGAAGAAGAAGGAUUCUCCCAGGGCUGUUGCUUUGGCCGAGUCGAAGAAGAGGAAGGGGGGUGGUGCUGUGAAGCAACUUGCGAAGAAGCGCAAGGCGGAGGUUUUGCUGGAGGCUUCGAUGGAGUCUUCCUCCGCCCGAUCCUCCGCUGCCGAGUCUAACUCGGUGGAUUCUGCGCCUGCGGAGGUUGAGAAGGCCGCGCCUGCUGGUGGAGUUCUUGAAGUUCAGGUUUCCCACGCAGUCUCGUCUGUGCGCGCGCCUUUUGUGUCACUUCUUGGGGAGGAGUCUUUCGACGCGGAGGCUCCUAGGGCGAGUCCUGCGCGGGUGAUGAGUCCUGCGCAGGAGGCUUCUGCUGGAGGAGGAUCUCCGCCGAAGGAGAGGCAGAGGGAGUCUAGUGAUGAAGCUGAGUCCGUUUCUGUUCGGAGGAUAAGCAGGGCGGAGGAUCCUCCGCGUCCGGUUGGAGAUGGUAUAAACUCGUUGUACAUGGGUAAAGAUUUUGGUUUGAUUGAUUCUGGUAUUUCUGCAUAUUUUGAUUGUGUUGGUCUUAUAUUUUUUUGUAUAUUUUUCAGAGGAUGUUAUUGUUGGGCUGGCUACCACGGAGGAGUUGGCUAAGGGCUCCAGCAUCGCGCAGGAAGGCCUUGCUGUUCCUCCGCGUUGGGAUCCUGCGCCCUCUGCGCUGACCAGCGGGCCUUCGCCCGCUGAUGUACUUGGUCCCAGUGAGCUUCUUCUUUUUUGUUAUUUUCAGCGAAUUGGUUUUUUGUGAUUUGUGCUAAGGUUGUUUUUGGUUUUGUGCAGGCGCUUCUGAUCCUUCGAUCACAGGUUGGACCGAUGCACUACGCGAGGUUCAUUCUUUGGUCGGAGGUUCGUUGUCUGGCCUCCGCUAUCGGUAUUUUUGUUCCUACAUUUUUUCCUUACUCCUUUUUGCUUGACAGAUCGUUUUCGCCAGAAGCUCCGCAGUAUGGAUUUUGAUACGCUUCUCCGCGUGCAAUAUGAGCACCAUAGCCUUGUAUGUCUGAAAUUUGUUUUAUCUUCCUUUGCCGUUUUUUGUUCGGAGGUUUGUUCUAAUUUGCCUUUUGAACAGGGUCAUCACAUGGCUGCCGUCUUGGAGGAGCGUUGCUCCCGGGAGGUUAUUUGCCGGGAUGAAGCCAUUGGGGCUCUGAAAAAGGAGAACGAGACCUUGGAGGCUGAGAAGGCUCGCCUGUCGGAGGAAAUUUAGGGGUUUUCUUCCAUUCGGCGGGAGGUUGAGUCUCUGAAGAAGGAGAGGGACAAUUAUAAGGCUGGGUCAGAGGCUAUGAGGAAGGAGAAAGAGGAUGUCGAAGCUUCGGCAGCUGUCCUCCGGACGAGUGCCACUAAGGCGGGGAGGGCUAGGGACUUAGCCUUGCAGCGGGCUGAGAAAGUCGAGGAUAUUGCUGACCGCCUCUGCAAGGAGCUUGAUGCCGAGCGCGCGUCUGCGGCUGUGAUGGAGACUUGUAUGCAGAAGGCGGAGGCGGAGGCUGCGGCUGUCGUUGGGCUCUACACCGACUCGUUGGCACAGUUCGGAGGUAGCACCUCUGCUCCUCCGCCCAGCAGCGACGUUGGGGCUAGCCUCGCAUGGCUAAAGUCUCAUAUCCGCAUGCUCCCUGACUUUGUCGGGGGUGCUGUUGGUUUUGGGGCUUUGGCCGCGGUUAGCUCCUUCGCCAGGCUUUUGCGCCGCGGAGGUUGCUCCCACGCCGAGGGGGUUGCGAAGGAGGAGUUUGUCUUGGCAGAGGAUGUUGGGGAAGGAACCUCCGGCCUACGCAAAUCAGUCUGGAACUUUAUAAGUUCAUUCUGGAUUAGGUUUGGGCGGGCUGAGGCAAAGAAGAUGGCGGAGGCUCGCCGCGCUGAGGUACAUGUGGUUUGAAUAUUUCUUUGGUGUGCUGUGUUGCUACUUUGCAAUGUUUCUCAAAUUUAUCGUUGUGCAGGAGAUUGCCAAGAAGAAAACUAAGGUUGACAAGGCCGGUCCCUCGUGCCCCCCUAGCGAAGCGCGUCCUUCGGCCCAGGCUGAUGCGGAGGUUCCUGACGCUGGUGCUAAGGCUCCGGAGGGAUCGGGUGCCAAGGCUCCAGGGGAAGCUGAAGCCCCUGCUCCUCCUCCGCCACAGGUGUGAGGGUUUUUUAGUUUGUAGGUUUUUCUUAGUUUUGUGUGUCUGCUUCUUAUGCGACGCUUUUUGUAAAAAGGUCAGAGGUUCUGAUUGGAUUGUAAAGACUUGUCGCAGAUGUAAUAUAUUAGGUUGAUUUUGGAUGAGUGUUUGUUUUACAUUUUUAUCCUGCGCAGGUCUCUAGCGGAGGACCUGCGCAGGAUCCUUAUGAAGCUCCGCUUUCAAUUUUCUAAGAUGGAAUUUAUGUUUCUGGCGAGUUGUAGGAAUAUUGGCGGACUGCCUUCCCUAGGAUGAGCGUGGUGGAUAUGUUUAAGUUUGUUGAGUUUGAUAUUGAUGACGAAUGAUCUGAAUUCCUCCGUUCGCUUGCGUGCCGAGGGUCUUGGCCUCCAGCUUCGGUAGUUAUUUGGUUUUUUGUUUUUUGUAUUUGGUUAUGUGGUUUCCAUGUUCUAAUUUGGUUUGAUGUGUUUCUGCAGUCAUCGUACCCGAUCCUUCGCAUCUUUGGUGAGGAUGAUGGUAUAUGUUGGUUGCCAGAGGAUCCUGUUGCUAUGGCUACGCGAUAUCGUGGGGAGGUUCGAAGGCCAGAUCCUACGUCUUAAUCUUAUCCUUCACUUGGGUCAAGUUAAAAAUUGUUUCAACUUUUUGCGCAGGUUGCUAGAUCUCCUCCAAGGCAUGAUGUCCUUCCUUCGAAUUUCGUCGAGGGAAGCUAUGUUACUCCGGUGACAUUCAAGCGUGGUGAUCUGUACGCAAGGGGCUGGCUAAUUGAUUGGUGGCGCCAUAUAUGUCCUACGCAUAACGCCGAUGACUUAGUUGAUUUUCUUGCUCAUGAUUACUGUGAUGAAUUUAGGUUUGUACCACAUUCAUACCUUAGGAUUGUGCGAGACUCUUAGAACCUUCGACUUUUAGCGGUCGAAGGAUGUUUUGUUGGUUCUUUGUUUUCCUUUUUUGGUUGUAAACUGUUGUCUUGUAAUAAUUUUUUCAUCAUUAAUAAAGAUCAGAAUUUUUAUUACAACCUUCGCACUCUUAGCAACAUUUUUAUUACAACCUUCGCGAUAUUCUACGCUGCGAUUGUUUUUGUUUGAUGAAUACAUCGCAACGUCACGGUGGUGUUGAUCCUAAGGAUCUUUGUGUUGCUGUAGCGCGUUCGUACUUGAUGUUCGAUGUUGCGAAGGCGUUGGUGGCCGUUUUGUGUGCGCAGGAUUGCUGCUCCUUGAUCUUAGGGCCUUCGCUUGCCUUGGUGCGAAGGAGCCUCUACUGAAUUGUGGUUAUCUUUGCCUUUGCUCAACUCCCGUGGAGUGUUGUCGAAGGUAACCUUCGGGUAUGUGAGUCGAAGGUUCUGAAGGGAUGUUACGAGACUUCGUGCGAUGCCCUUCAGAGACCUCCGAUACUAGCUUGUGGUGCUUUUAUUGUGGUUGUACAUGACUCUGUGGUUGAUGUUCAUCACAACGCCACAGCUGUAGCAUUACGAAGCUUCGUGCAAUACCAAUUUUUUGUGCUGCUAUGAGGCUAACCCCUGCCUCCAUGGUGGCCUAUGUUUUUUCCUUUGUGAGUGCUAGGCUUGCACUGGUUGUUUGGAUCUGUGUGUGUUGGUCCUGACUGAGGGUGUGGGCAAGGUGAGCCUGGUUUUAUAGGCUUUCAUGCAUUUAUUGCAUGUACUUUGUUAGGUUGGAAUUUACUAUUAAGUUAUUAUUGGUUGUUGUGAUUGUUGUGGUAGUUGGUCCGGCUUUACUUGACUGAGGAUGAUUGUAAGCUUUGCUUUAUUUUCACACUUUGUGUGUUAGAGGCCUGCUUAGAUUAGCAGGAUACCUUCAACCUUAUCUUGGCGAAGGUUAUGUAAUUGUUGUUGGGGUUUACCUUGUGAAUGUGAAACCUUCGCUGCCUUUGGGCAGAAGUCGUAUAGCCCCUGAUGCCUGAUUGUUCUCAGGUCUUUGUCAGGUUUGAAGGUUUUGUCCCUUCUGGCCAUGUUGUGUUGCCUGAGGAGGACAGGGCUUUUUCACUUUUGGCCAUACUGUCCUUGCUGCCCGGCUCUUGGCCAGGUCUUUUGCUAAGGAUUUGGUGUUUUUCCACCGUUGAGGAUGCUCCGUGCUUUCUUAGCCUUUAGCUGAAAGAUGCGGAGGGUCCUUGUAAUCACGUGAUGUUUUGUCGAAUGCUACAGCCUCGUUGCCGGCUGUUUUUCAACUUUUGAACUUUGCUUCUAGGGUGGAUUCCUCUUUAUAUCUCAGAGGUUUUUACAUAGGUUCUGCCUCAUUAAAAACCUCACCUCCUAGUAGGAGUACCUCUGUGAGGAAAAGAGUGCAGACCCUAGAUUGUAAAAAAGUAGAGAGAAAAAGAAAAUAAGUGUAUCUAAAGACAUGGAUGCCGCCGCUUAUUUUGGGGGGGUCAUCCUUACACUCAAAUGUAAAAUCUUCGUAGAUUGUCGACGUUCCACGUGUGGGUGGCGGUUCUACCUUCGAGGUCUUUCAGGUAGAAGGAUCCCGACCUUCCCGCUUGUAUUGCUGUAUAAGGUCCUUCCCACUUGGGUUGCAAUUUACCAGCGUUUGGGUGAUCUCCUUUUUUUCCUGAGUACCAGGUCCCCAUCUUUUUUGUCUUUCCAUACUACCUUGCGGUCUCUCCAUUUUUUGGUUUCUUGCUGGUAUUUGGUAAUGUUCUCUACUGCUUCUAGUCUCACUGAUUCCAGGGUUUCCUUGCAGUACUCUUCAUCUUCAGCCAAGAGCUGCUUCAUGGAACACAGGCUUUGGUGUUUGAUUUUUUCUAGCAACACUGCCUCCUCCCCAUACAAGAGCUUGAAUGGAGUGAACCCAGUUGCUCUCGAGACUGUUGUGUUAUGAGACCACACAACUCUGGGUAGCUCGUCAACCCAUUUCCCCUUUCGUAGGUUGAGUAGAGUUUUGGAGAUUGUGGAGAAUAUUAUUCUGUUUGCUCUCUCUACUGCUCCGUUUGACUCUGGGUGGUAGACGGACGCGAAAGCAAUUUUGGUUCCUAUGUGCUGGCAGAAUUCCUUGAAACUGUCUGAAUCAAACUGCUUCCCGUUGUCAACUGUGAGCAGGCUUGGAACUCCGAAUCUGCAGACUAUGUUCUGCCAGAAAAAUUUCCUGAUUGUUUCAGAGGUUAUGGUUGCCAGUGGCUUUGCUUCGAUCCAUCUUGUGAAGUAUUCGAUGGCCACGACGGCGAACUUGUUUCCCCCUGUGCAGUUGGCAUCGGUCCUACCAGGUCCAUUCCCCAUCGUUGCAACGGCCAUGAUGCUGAUAUGAGCUGAGUUGGUGCUGAAGGUCCUGACCGAAUUGGUGAGAGGGUUUGGCAGGCUUUGCAUGUCUUCACUAUCUCUUCAGCAUCUUUGAUGUGAGUUGGCCAGUAGAAGCCUUGUAUUAAUGCUUUGGCAGACAAUGCGCGGGGGCCGAUGUGAGACCCGCAUAUCCUAGAGUGUAUCUCUUGCAGGAGCUCUCUGCCCUCGGUUUGUGAUAUGCAUUUCAGCAAAGGUUGGACUACACCUUUCUUGUAUAGUUCUCUGUCAAUGAUGGUGUAAUUCCUUGCUCUUGCUUCCAUUCUCUUGGUUAAUGCUUCAUCAUCUGCGGUUGUUUUGCCUUUGAGAGAGUCAGCCAUUGCCUACCUCCAAUCUUCGCAUUCUGUUAGCAGGAUUGAGCGAAAAGCUUUUGGCAAUGAUUCAGUUGCGGGUGCUCCAACGAUUUGGUAGAAAGUUCCUUCUGGCAAGGAGGUGUUGUUGGCUGCUGCUUUGGCUAGCUCGUCUGCCUCGUAGUUCUCGGCUCUUGGAAUGUACUGCAGAGUGAACCCCUUGAACCUUCUCUCCAGCCCCCUUACGACGGCCAAAUAUCUUGCCAACUCGGGGUUGUGUGCCAAGUAUUCCUUCUCCACUUGUCCUGCCACCACCUGGGAGUCUAUUUUGAUGAGCAGGGUUUUGGCUCCCGAAACCUUGGCUUUGUUCAGCCCGAGGAUGAGUCCUUCAUACUCUGCUAUGUUGUUUGUUGCUUUGAAUUCGAGUCUCGCAGCAUAUUUUAGCAUGAGCCCGGAUGGUGCGAUCAGAACGGCUGCUGCUCCUGCUCCUGAUUGCCCCCAGGCGCCAUCCGUAUACAAUGUCCAAGGCUGGUCGACUACCUUCUCCUCUUCUUUGUUCGAAGGUGUCCAAUCUGCCAUGAAGUCACCUAGGGCUUGCGAUUUGAUGGAGGUUCUGGGGACAUAGGUGAUGUCGAACUGUGAUAGCUCGGCCGCUCAUUUCCCUAUGCGCCCGGAGGCCUCCUUGUUCCUAAGGAUGUCACCCAAUGGCUGUGAAGUGGGUACUUUGAUCUCAUGGCUUUGGAAGUAAUGCUUGAGCUUUCUUGAUGCACAUAGAACUGCAUAUGCGAUUUUUUCUAUCUCCGUGUAGUUCAGUUUUGCUCCUGACAAAGCUUCGGAUACAUAGUAGACGGGCCUUUGCACCGUUCCCUUACUGCCACUUGUCUCAUGCACCAAAAUAGCACUGACGGCGUGCUCGGAGGCAGCCACAUACAGCAGUAGGGGAGUGUCCGGCUCAGGCGCAGUUACCACCAGAUUGGUCGCAAUGUAACUCUUGAGCUGCCUGAAGGCCUCUGAUUGCUCCGGACCCCAUUCGGUUUUGCCCUCUCCUCUUAACACUUUGAAGAAUGGUAGGCUCCGUUCUACAUAUCUUGAAAUGAAUCUGUUGAGAGCUGCUAUUCGACCAGUCAACCUCUGCACUUCUUUCUUGCUUGAAGGUUCUGCCAUUGACAUGAUUGCUUUUGUCUUGUCUGGGUUGGCUCUGAUUCCUUCGGAGCUGAUGAUGUAUCCCAGCAUUUUUCCCUUACUGACCCCGAAUACACAUUUUUCUGGGUUAAGUUUCAGCCCGGCAGAUCUGAGGUUGACAAAGGUUUCCUGCAGGUCCUUGAUAUGAUCUUCUUUGUUUCUGCUCAUGACAACAACAUCAUCGACGUAGGCUAUGAUGUUUCUCUGCAGCUGACUUCCCAGAACCUUCCCCAUCAUUCUGGAGAAGGUUGCUCCAGCGUUCUUGAGACCUUCUGGCAUUCUUGUGUAACAAUAUGUGCCAAAUGGAGUCGUGAAGCUUGUCUUUCCCUCGUCUUCCUUCUUUAGCCAAAUUUGGUGGUAUCCGGAGAAGCAAUCCAGAAGCGAAAAUCUCUGGCAACCGGCGGCUUUGUCGACGGAGGUGUCUAUCCUUGGUAGGGGGAAGGAGUCUUUGACGCAAGCUUUGUUGAGAUCUGUGAAAUCUAUGCACAUUCUCAUUUUGUCAUUCUUCUUGGGGACCAGGACCACAUUUGCCAACCAUUUCGGGUACAUGAUCUCUCUGAUGACAUUUGCGUUCAGAAGUCUUUGCACCUCUGCCUUCGCAGCUAAGGUUCUUUCUUUAGACAUUUUCCCCUGUCUCUAUUUCUUCAGCCUCAUUCUUGCGUCGAUAUCCAGCGAAUGCUCUAUGAUCUCUCUGCUAACUCCCUGUAGGUCAGUGGCACUCCAGGCAAAGAUAUCUUGAUCCUUUUGUAGCACGUCUAGCAACUCAAGUUCCUCCUCUCUGCUGAGGGUGGCGGAUAUGGUGACUUUCCUAUCUGGAACUGCCUCCUGCAGAGGGACACAUUUUGUUUCCUCCUGAUCAGCCAGGUCUAUCUUCCCCCUUGGCAUGUCUGGUGGCUGGCAAGCUUCUUCUUAAGUGGAGUCCACGGAGUUUAUGUUCCGGAAAGACUUGUAGAUUGCUUUCUCUAUGUUCCUUGCCUCUUUCUGACUUCCGUGAAUAGUGAUCACCCCGUGCAGGGCCGGGAUUUUCAUGCACAGGUACCCCAUGUGAGCAGCUGCAUUGAAUUUGUUCAAGAACCCCCGCCCGAAUAUGGCGUUGUAAGGGUAAUGCAGGUCUACCAUGUCGAAGGUGACAUACUCUGUCCUUGCGUUUUCCGUUGUGCCAAAGGAUACAGGUAGGCGACCUUACCCAGAGCGUGUAUCUGCUUCCCUCCAAACCCGAUCAAAGGUGAUUCCGAAGGUUGGAGCUGGCUUCUGCUGAGCUUCAUUUGGUCGAAGGUUCCAGCGAAUAUUAUGUCUGUGGAACUUCUUGAAUCUACUAAGAUCCUGCUGACUCCCCAACCCGCAACAUUCGCUGUUAUGACCAUCGCAUUCGUAUGUGGGUAGAUUUCUAACCUUAGAUCUUCCUCGGUGAAGGUUAUUGGGGUUCUGGACCAAUCGGUGCAGCGGACCGGCCCCUCAACCGCAACAUUGUUGACGAGUCGAAGGUGAUCCUUCUUCUGCUUCUUUGUCUGGAACUCCAUUGAGGACCCUCCAGCUAUCGGCAAGAUCAUCCCAAUUGUGGGCAGUGGUGUGUGGGGGGCGAUCUGAUUGUCAGGGUGGGGUUCUGGCUUUGGUGGAGGUGGAGCUUGGAUUAACUGGAGUUGGUUUGGGGGAGGAGGUAACGACUGCUGGUGGGACUGCGGGGUUUCGAUGUAUGUAAUUUGCGGGGGUCGUGGAGGUGCAUAGGUUGUUUGCAGGUUAUGUUCUGCGGGCUGCUGUGCUGGGCGCCAAGCUGGUAGGAAACUGGGAUAGUAAGCGGAGGCUAGUGCGCUGGGCUGAAUUGGAGCUGGGUGCUGCUGGCCCGAUCCUCCAACAUAUGAUUGGUAGAAGGUCUGGGGGAAUGUGUGAUUCACCUCCCGAGGUUGAGCGACCGACGACGGAGGUUGUGGAGCUGACCUGCUCUUGAUCCUCUCCUGAGUUUCUUUUGCAUCCGGGCAAUCUCUGGUGGAGUGACCAUUCUCCUCUCCAUAGUAGAAACAAUAUUGCUUCUGCGGCCGCUGCUUCUGAUUUUUUUGCCAUCCUGUGUUUCGACCUCCUCCUCCGGCUUGAUUGGGUACGCGUUCCGAGCUUUGCGGUUCUGCUGGUGGACGGUUAUGUUCUGGCUUGUCAUUCCUUGGUUGCUCAAUAUUCAUCAUCUGCCCACCAGCCUCUCGCUGUGGCCGGCGUUCAUCCUGGCUAAGGUUUUUCUUCUACAAGUUUCUACCAUUGCCCUGCUUCUUCUGAGAGUUUUGGUCUUCCAACCUCUUGCGGUAGUCGUUGUCCGACCUGCAAUACUUCUCGAACUCAUGGUACAGCUCGUGCAUGGAUGCUGGCUUUUCUCUGGCCAAGUGAGCUGCAAAGGACCCUAUGCGAAGGCCUUUGAUGGCUGCCUCAAUGGCGACCUCCUCCGGCACGCCGGGUGCUCUCGCCUUAGUCUGUACGAACCUUUGGAAGUAUUCCCUCAGUGCUUCUCCUUGACUCUGGCGACACUGGAACAGGUCCGUGGAGGUUAGUGACUCAACAACGAAUCCUUGGAAAUUUGCCAAAAUUUUGUCACGAAGGUUCUCCCAUGAAUAGAUCGACCCGGGCCUGAGCAUCGAGUACCAUGCCAGGGCAUCUCCUUCGGCCGCGAUCACAAAGGAUUUCGCCAUUACAGUUUCAUUCCCUCCAGCUGAAGCCACAGCUGCCUCGAAACUCAUCAGGAAUUGGCGGGGGUCAGUUUUUCCGUUGAAAUUGGGGAGCGUGAUCGGCUUGUAGGUUGCCGGCCACGGGCAGGUCUGCAAUCCUUCCGAUAGAGGGGAACGAAGGUCCAAUGUGCUCCGCAGCGUGCCACCGUAGCUUGCCGGCUGCACAUUUACCGUCGGACCGGCGCUGGGCAGAACAGUGGGAUGGAUAGUCGGCUGAGGUGGAGGUUGCAUGCUAAGGAUCUCUGCCUGUAAGAUUGAAAGCUGCUGCCUGAUCUCAGUUGCUUGCGCUGCUGCCAGCGCUGCCUCCUGGCUGGCGGCGUAGGCUGCAGCGAUCCGGUCUCGCUCUUACUAAAGGUUCUGUAGCUGCGCUUGUAGCAGUUGAAGCUCUUGCGCGGCUGUGGGUUGUGCCGGCCCCGCGGUUGGAGGAGGUUCCUGGCCGGCCUCUGGCUGCACGUUUUCUGGCUGCUUGUCCUCAAAGCCUUCCUCCUCUACGGUCGCAUACGCACUCCGCACGGCCCUCCUUGGCCUUCCUCUCCUGGAGGACUCCGCCCGAGGUCUUGUGGUGCUUGAUCUCUUUCCAGCCAUCGUAGGUGAUUUUUCACAUCGGCCCCACGGUGGGCGCCAAUGUUGGGAAAAUGCGCACUGCACUCCCCAGCAACACAGUGAGACGAGAACCUUCUCACUCGGUGCCGUGAGAGGCUGAACAACAGCAAAACAGUGGGCUCAACAGUAGGUGAAUACAAUGAAUGCUCCCCCUUGUUAAUGACGGUAUCACGCCCCUUAUAUAGGGCUCGGAAACCGACCUAAGAAAAUUACAGAAAUGCCCCGUGACGGUUGGGGAAUAUCCCAGCAUAUUCUCAUAUUACAGUCUACUCACCCUAAGCCAUUUGUGUAAUUUCACACUACGAACCCUGCGUGUGUCCCCUGUCUAGGGCUUCAGCUGGUCGGAGGCUUGGAUCCUCCGCUCGGCCGCCGAUCCUUCGACGCUUCCGCGUCGGAGGUUCCUCAGCUUGGACGCGUCGGAGGUUCCUCAGCCCGGACGCGUCGGAGGUUUCUCUCCUCGGUCAACUGAAGGCUCCUCAGCUCGCUCGACCGCCGACCUUCGACGCUUCCGCGUCGGAGGCUCCUUAGCUUGGACGCCUCGGAGGUUCCCAUCCUCCGCCGUGUCCUUCGCCAUCCUCGGACUUGGGAGGAUCGGAGGCUCCUCCUUUCUCCGCUUGCGGGACUCCAUCAGUGCCUCAAUCCCUGCACACACUUAGCAUGAUAAGACGAGUCGUCAACGUUAGUCUUUCUCAGAAACCUUCGCACGUAUUCGCACGAAGGUUCCCUGGGUGAAGGAUAUCCUUCGACGCCACCUGGGGGAAGGAUGUGGCCAUUCCCCAACAGAGGGGCGGUGCACUGGCGGGCCGCGAGUGGGGAGAGGGGAUUUGGGCCAUCAGGCCAGGAAGAGGGAGAGGAGGGGUUUUGUCUUUUUAUUUUUUCUAUUUCUAUUUCUUUUAUUCCAAAGCCAUUUUCAAAACCGUUUUAAAAAUCACUUUGAAUUAUGUUUGAAAUAUUUUUUUUAUCUUUGGUCAAAUCACUCAUCACAAUAAAAAUGAAUUUUGCAGCAUGAAUGCUCAACCAUAUUUCUAAUCCUAUGAUAAAUUUUAAUUUACUGAAAAAAAUAUUAUUUCUCUAUAUUCCAUGAAUACAAAAAUGCAAAAUUAAAUCGUUUCACCUAUUUCAAAAAUUAUAAAUUUUAGGGUGUUACACGACAACCGAUCAUGCAAAUAGAGACUAUUCUAAUAUCAUAAACAUUCUCAGAAUAUUAUCAAACUGUCAGGAUGGUUUAUUAGAACAUCCUCAUAAAAAACAAAACACUGGAUGCAGAGCAAUGUAAUUGUAUGAAAGAAAAAUAUAGAUUAUUUUUGUUAUUUAUUUAUUUCCUCUAAAAUUCAAAGCAAUACCUGAUCCAAUUCAUAACCUCUCUUUGCUUCUCCGACUAGUCCAUCAUUGAAUUGUCUUGUUCUGUAUGAGAAACACUAAUAGCAAGUCUACCUCUACUCUCCUUCUCGGCAGAGGAUAAUAGACCGAAUUUGAACCACAAAUCCUGCAAAAUAUCCUAAGUUUAUUUUUGUUGACAAAUGUUAUAUAGUUCAUAUGAAUAAUCCUUACAUUAAUUUAAAUGCCCAGUUUCGUUAAUGCAUAUAGUGAACCAUUUUUCUUAAAAUUUUGUAGAAAAAAUACACUAUGCCCUAAAAAACUGAUGAGACAAUUUACAGAAAAACAACUAAUCUCUUUUCUAGUGAAAAAGUACACUGCGACCUAAACAAACGUGCACUGUCAAAAUUGUAACAAUGUAUGUGACAAAUAUGAUAAAGCCACCUAACCUUAAUUUCCAGAAAUUGACAGAAUCUUCUUUGUUUUCAGAAUCCAAAAAAAACAACAAACUCCUUUGCAAUAGAUACAAGAUCGUAAAGACAAAUGUAUGUCCUCUGUAGUGGAUAGAACCAUAGAAAUUAGUCCUGCAUCAGCAGGUGCCAUAUCAAAAUUUUCAAACUGUUAGAUCUCUGAUGGUUGCUGCUUCACCUAUAUAUUUGCACAUGUGAAUUCAAGCCUCUAAAGAAUGGGAUUAGUUAUUCAGAUGAAAUGGGACUACAUUAGGUGAAGUAACAGCAAGAUGUAGUGGCACGAUGUAUGCUCUAGGGUAGUAGCAAGAAAAAUAGAGAACAAAAAAGUUCUACAUGUCCUCCUAGGAUCCAUCACAAAUACCAACCGAUGGACACCGGUAGGAGCUGAGAUUGAACCAAACUGUCAGGAGUUAUCCAAGUUCAGAACCUAACACUAACCUUCUCUUCCUCUGAGUGGCAUGAGGUGACGUCGGCGCAACUAGUGUUGUCUUCAAAUAUGAGCAGCUGGAGUUAGGACCAUCAAAAGUAGGCAGGAGGGAGAACAAACAUGAAUUGUCAGGUCAUGAACAGUAGGGUAAUCAGUGGCACCUGGAAUGGGUGGUGAGCAAGCACCAUGAGCGUUGAUGCCUGAUCGCUACGCUAGGCACAUCCUCACCGACGAUGUAGGGACUUCGGCUCUUUGCUGAUGUCAUCAAUGAAGCCCAGAAAUGACUCUAACCAAGAAGUUGAGGAGCUAGGCACGUCCUGAUGUUGUCAACAAAGUCCAUCGGCUGCUCCCACCUGCCUUUAAUCAUCUAUUGGUUAAUAGAUUGUGGCUGGGACCAGACUACCAACAAUCAACUUAGAACAUUAAAAGUUCAGAACUAAGAUAUCUGAAUCCUAUAAAUUUUUAAAGUAAGAAAUGUCUCAGGUGCACUCUUAGUUUAAAUACAUGUGUACAUAUAAAUCAGCUAGGUUAAUCCACUUCAAAUCCAUCCAUCUACAAUCAGUGGCACAUGUACGCUUGAUAAUCUUUGGAAGGGAUCAAAGUUAGUAGUCAUAAUACAUGUAUACACUUGUAUUUGGAUAAGAUCUCUCAAUACAAAUAGCCAAAUGCUCGGUUUAACAUAUCAUAAAGGCAAGGGAGAAGGAUGAGGAGCACAAGGGCUAGGAACAUUCACAACAAAACAUAUCAAAUCACAUAGAGGCGCAAGCGCAGAUCCACUGAAGUUUGAAGGGCAUUUGAGUGUGCACAUGUACGAUUGAUAAUCUUUAAAAGGGAUCAAAGUUGUGUGCAUAAUACUGGAAAUCAAAGACUAUAGAAAAUCAGAGUGGGGUAUAUUUGAAAGGGAUAAUAUAUACACUUUGUAACAGAUCUGAAUACAAAUGACUUUGGUUGCUCGGUUUUGCAAAGCAGAAAGGAAGAGAAGGGUGGCAUACCUGUGAUGAUGGCGUAGAAAAUUGUGUGUGGUGGCGGCACCUUCUCCUUUUCAAUGCUCCAUCCUAGGAGCAGCAAAUGACGGCGUAGAUCAGAGACGAGCGAGGUGGUGACACAGGUUGAAGGAUGGCCUUACGGUGGUGGCUUGUUCCUAUGGUGGAGGCGCGGCAGAGCGGAACAAGGCACGGCGACGGCGGUGGCCAUGAGGUGGAAGUGGAGGAGGAGG